UCCUACGGGGCGCAGCAGUGGGGAAUAUUGCACAAUGGGGGAAACCCUGAAGCAGCAACGCCGCGUGGAGGAUGAAGGUUUUCGGAUUGUAAACUCUUUUUGUUAGAGAAGAUAAUGACGGUAUCUAACGAAUAAGCACCGGCUAACUCCGUGCCAGCAGCCGCGGUAAUACGGAGGGUGCAAGCGUUACUCGGAAUCACUGGGCGUAAAGAGCGCGUAGGCGGGAUAGCAAGUCAGAUGUGAAACCCUAUGGCUUAACCAUAGAACUGCAUUUGAAACUGUUAUUCUAGAGUAUGGGAGAGGUA
rnacentral:rRNA from 1 species